AAGGGCGCACGGUGGAUGCCUUGGCACUAGGAGCCGACGAAGGACGUGACAAACGACGAUAUACCUUGGGUAGCUGUAAGUAAGCGAUGAUCCAGGGAUUUCCGAAUGGGGGAACCCAACAGGUAAUACCUGUUACCCACAUCUGUUAAGGA
rnacentral:sRNA from 1 species